rnacentral:rRNA from 1 species
AACGAACGCUGGCGGCAUGCCUAACACAUGCAAGUCGAACGAACCCUUCGGGGUUAGUGGCGCACGGGUGCGUAACACGUGGGAAUCUGCCCUUUGCUUCGGAAUAACAGUUAGAAAUGACUGCUAAUACCGGAUGAUGUCGUAAGACCAAAGAUUUAUCGGCAAAAGGAUGAGCCCGCGUAGGAUUAGGUAGUUGGUGGGGUAAAAGGCCUACCAAGCCGACGAUCCUUAGCUGGUCUGAGAGGAUGAUCAGCCACACUGGGACUGAGACACGGCCCAGACUCCUACGGGAGGCAGCAGUGGGGAAUAUUGGACAAUGGGCGAAAGCCUGAUCCAGCAAUGCCGCGUGAGUGAUGAAGGCCUUCGGUUGUAAAGCUCUUUUACCUAGGGAUGAUAAUGACAGUACCUGGAGAAUAAAGCUCCGGCUAACUCCGUGCCAGCAGCCGCGGUAAU